CCUCUCUCAGGAUUGCUCCUGGAGAGUUUCCGGUACUCUACCAGUCCCGACUACGGGAGGGAGAGUCAAGCAGAAGCGUACCCAUUCCAUUCCUGGCUUGGCCGGUGGCUAGCGAGUGGACGGCAAUCUGCUACAAGU